AACGAACGCUGGUGGCAGGCCUAACACAUGCAAGUCGAACGCAUCCUUCGGGGUGAGUGGCAGACGGGUGAGUAACGCGUGGGAACGUGCCCUUCAGUUCGGGAUAACCCAGGGAAACUUGGGCUAAUACCGGAUACGUGCGAGAGCAGAAAGAUUUAUCGCUGAAGGAUCGGCCCGCGUCUGAUUAGCUAGUUGGUGGGGUAAUGGCCCACCAAGGCGACGAUCAGUGGCUGGUCUGAGAGGAUGAUCAGCCACAUUGGGACUGAGACACGGCCCAAACUCCUACGGGAGGCAGCAGUGGGGAAGAUUGGACAAUGGGCGCAAGCCUGAUCCAGCCAUGCCGCGUGAGUGAUGAAGGCCUUAGGGUUGUAAAGCUCUUCGUCCGGGACGAUAAUGACGGUACCGGAAGAAGAAGCCCCGGCUAACUUCGUGCCAGCCGCCGCCGUAA
rnacentral:rRNA from 1 species